GACGAACGCUGGCGGCGUGCUUAACACAUGCAAGUCGAACGGGAAGUCCCUGCUUUUGUGGGGUGCUCGAGUUGCGAACUGGUGACUAACACUUGAGUUAGCUGCCCUUGACUUUGGGAUAACUUCAUAAAACUUGGUCUCAUACCGGAUAGGAGCUCCUGCUUCAGGGUGGGGGUGGGAUAGUUUCGGUGGUUGGGGAUGUACUCGCGGCCUAUCAGCUUGUUGGUGGGGUAGUGGCUUAGCAAGACUUGGACGGCUAGCCGGCCUGAGAGGGUGACCGGCAACAUUGGGACUGAGAUACGGACAAGACUCAUACGCGAGGGAGAAGUGGGGGUUAUUGAAAAAUGGGAGGAAGCGUGAUGCAGCAACGCCGAGGGCGGGAUGACGACGUUGGGGUUGGAAACGGAUUUCGCCUGUGACGGAGAGUAAGUGACGAUAAUGGGUAAAGAAGGACCGGCUAAAUACGUG
rnacentral:rRNA from 1 species